CCUACGGGCGGCAGCAGUGGGGGAUAUUGCACAAUGGGGGAAACCCUGAUGCAGCGACGCCGCGUGUGGGAAGACGGCCCUCUGGAUUGUAAACUACUUUUCCCAGGGACGAAGAUGACGGUACCGGGGGAGGAAGCUCCGGCUAACUACGUGCCAGCAGCCGCGGUAAUAGGCAGGGAGCACGCGUUGUCCGGAAUUACUGGGUGAAAAGGGAGCGUAGGCGGGAUGGCAGGUUGGGUGUUAAAUCUACCGGCUCAACUGGUAGUCGCGGUCAAAACUGCUAUUCUUGAGUGAAGUAGAGGCAGGCGGAAUUCCUAGUGUAGCGGUGAAAUGCGUAGAUAUUAGGAGGAACACCAGUGGCGAAGGCGGCCUGCUGGGCUUUUACUGACGCUGAGGCUCGAAAGUGUGGGGAGCAAACAGGAUUAGAUACCCCAGUAGUC
rnacentral:rRNA from 1 species